UAAGGGGAUUCCCCUAGUACGGCGAGUGAAGAGGGAAGAGCCCAAGAUUGAAAGCUGGCGUCUUCGGCGUCCGCAUUGAGUCUCAAGAAGUGUUUUCCGCUUCGGACCAUGCCUAAGUCCCUUGGAAAAGGGCAUCAUAGAGGGUGAUAAUCCCGUACAUGGCAUGGAGCGCCCGAAGCUUUGUGAUACGCUUUCUAAGAGUCGAGUUGUUUGGGAAUGCAGCUCAAAAUGGGUGGUAAAUGCCAUCUAAGGCUAAAUAUUGGGGAGAGACCGAUAGCGAACAAGUACAGUGAUGGAAAGAUGAAAAGAACUUUGAAAAGAGAGUUAAACAGUACGUGAAAUUGCCAAAAGGGAAGGGUAGGAGGUCAGAGAUGCGGCCUGGGAUUCAGCCUUGCUUUUGCUUGGUGUUUUUCCCAGAUUGCAGGCCAACGUCGGUUUUGGGCACUGGAGAAGGGUAGGAGGAACGUGGCACCUCUCGGGGUGUGUUAUAGCCUCCUACUGGAUACAGCGACCGAGACCGAGGACAGCAGCGUACUCGCAAGAGCGGGCCUUCGGGCACCUUUACGCUUAGGGCGUUGGCAUAAUGGCCCUCUACCACCCGUCUUGAAAACACGGAC
rnacentral:rRNA from 1 species